rnacentral:misc_RNA from 1 species
GUGAAUCAUCGAAUUUUUGAACGCAAAUUGCACUCUUUUCUGUGAGUAUGCCUGUUUGAGGGUCAGCCUAUAAAAAAUCGACAUCGUUGCUGUUCCGCGGUGACGUUCGUCGGUAAUGGCGUUAUCUUAAACCUUUUGGUUUAAGCGACUUAAAAUUUUCUUUUUGUUUCCAUGAACGUUUCUAAGAUUUAUUUCUUCAC